rnacentral:rRNA from 1 species
UACGUAGGGUGCAAGCGUUAAUCGGAAUUACUGGGCGUAAAGCGUGCGCAGGCGGUGAUGUAAGACCGAUGUGAAAUCCCCGGGCUUAACCCUGGGAACUGCAUUGGUGACUGCAUUGCUGGAGUAUGGCAGAGGGGGGUGGAAUUCCACGUGUAGCAGUGAAAUGCGUAGAGAUGUGGAGGAACACCGAUGGCGAAGGCAGCCCCCUGGGCCAAUACUGACGCUCAUGCACGAAAGCGUGGGGAGCAAACAGG